AGGACGAACGCUGGCGGCGCGCUUAACACAUGCAAGUCGAACGUGAAGCCGGGGCUUGCCCCGGUGGAAAGUGGCGAACGGGUGCGUAACACGUGAGCAACCUGCCCCGAAGACUGGGAUAACACCGGGAAACCGGUGCUAAUACCGGAUACCCUCUUUUGAUCGCAUGGUCGGAUGAGGAAAUGGAUUCCGCUUCGGGAUGGGCUCGCGGCCUAUCAGCUUGUUGGUGGGGUAACGGCCCACCAAGGCGACGACGGGUAGCUGGUCUGAGAGGACGACCAGCCACACUGGGACUGAGACACGGCCCAGACUCCUACGGGAGGCAGCAGUGGGGAAUCUUGCUCAAUGGGCGAAAGCCUGAAGCAGCGACGCCGCGUGCGGGAUGAAGGCCCUCGGGUUGUAAACCGCUUUCAGCAGGGACGAAAUUGACGGUACCUGCAGAGAGGCCGCACUACGCGCCAGCAGCCGC
rnacentral:rRNA from 1 species